UAAAGGAAGCGAUUCCGGCUACGGAUGGGCAUGCGGCGCAUUAGCUAGUCGGCGGGGUAACGGCCCACCGAGGCGACGAUGCGUAGGGGUUCUGAGAGGAAGGUCCCCCACACUGGUACUGAGACACGGACCAGACUCCUACGGGAGGCAGCAGUGAGGAAUAUUGGUCAAUGGGCGAGAGCCUGAACCAGCCAAGUCGCGUGAGGGAAGACGGUCCUAUGGAUUGUAAACCUCUUUUGUCGGGGAGCAAAAAGGCCUCGUGAGGCCGUAAAUGAGAGUACCCGAAGAAAAAGCAUCGGCUAACUCCGUGCCAGCAGCCGCGGUAAUACGGAGGAUGCGAGCGUUAUCCGGAUUUAUUGGGUUUAAAGGGUGCGUAGGCGGACUGGAAAGUCAGCGGUAAAAUCGAGAGGCUCAACCUCUUUCCGCCGUUGAAACUGUCGGUCUUGAGUGGGCGAGAAGUAUGCGGAAUGCGUGGUGUAGCGGUGAAAUGCAUAGAUAUCACGCAGAACUCCGAUUGCGAAGGCAGCAUACCGGCGCCCGACUGACGCUGAGGCACGAAAGCGUGGGUAUCGAACAGGAUUAGAUACCCUGGUAGUCCACGCAGUAAACGAUGAAUACUAAUUGUCCGGUCAGAAUGACGACUGG
rnacentral:rRNA from 1 species